CCGUCUAGUGGAUUUAAUUUUAACCACUAGUGAUAGCUAGCAUCCACGUCCACGGACGGCUGGACGGAACGGAUGGAUUGUCAGCUACCUGCGUUAGCAAGGUAGGCUACCCGAAGGACUGCUGUGAUUUUUUUCCAUUUAAAAUCAAAAUAGCCCAGCAGUAGCCUAGCACCAGCAUAUGUUUUUGUCCAAAUUAAAUUUGUUAUGAUUAGAACCUGAAACACAGGUACAGCCACAGGAAUACUUGGUCCAACAGACAGAAGUUUAGUUGAUUGGCAGGGUAUUUGCUUUGAACUAAAACUGAAACACAAAAAGGACACCAACAAGCCAAAAAGGCAAGUGCCGUGGAUUGCAAUUAUACCUACGCUGAAAGUUAGGUUCAAUCACGUCAAGGAACGAGAAAUGCUCGAUGUAUACUCUUUCGAUCGUUUUGUAUUGGAAAGUAGCUGCACAAGAACAUGAGAUGAAUGAUAAAGAUCAAAAUAAAAUAGAUCCAUUUUCAACGAGCACAUUGUUUUCCUUCUCCAAAUCAUCAAAAUCAUUUCGUAGGAGUGAAGUUGUUGCUCGAAGAAAGUUUUUUUUUUUUUUUCUCGUUUUCACCACAAAAACACG